rnacentral:rRNA from 1 species
GAUGAACGCUGGCGGCGUGCCUAAUACAUGCAAGUCGAGCGAACAGACGAGGAGCUUGCUCCUCUGACGUUAGCGGCGGACGGGUGAGUAACACGUGGAUAACCUACCUAUAAGACUGGGAUAACUUCGGGAAACCGGAGCUAAUACCGGAUAACAUGUUGAACCGCAUGGUUCAACAGUGAAAGACGGUCUUGCCGUCACUUAUAGAUGGAUCCGCGCCGCAUUAGCUAGUUGGUAAGGUAACGGCUUACCAAGGCAACGAUGCGUAGCCGACCUGAGAGGGUGAUCGGCCACACUGGAACUGAGACACGGUCCAGACUCCUACGGGAGGCAGCAGUAGGGAAUCUUCCGCAAAGGGCGAAAGCCUGACGGAGCAACGCCGCGUGAGUGAUGAAGGUCUUCGGAUCGUAAAACUCUGUUAUUAGGGAAGAACAAAUGUGUAAGUAACUAUGCACGUCUUGACGGUACCUAAUCAGAAAGCCACGGCUAACUACGUG